rnacentral:rRNA from 1 species
GGUUAAGUGAAUUAAGCGUGUACGGUGGAUGCCUAGGCAAUCAGAGGCGAUGAAGGACGUGUUAAUCUGCGAUAAGCAUCGGUAAGGUGAUAUGAACCGUUAUAACCGGUGAUUUCCGAAUGGGUAAACCUGAUAUAUAUUAUUGUAUAUCAUUAAUAAUUUAAAUUAUUAAUGCUAACUAAGAGAACUGAAACAUCUAAGUAUCUUAAGGAAAAGAAAUCAAUUGAGAUUCCCUAAGUAGUGGCGAGCGAAAAGGGAUUAGCUCUGAACUAUAUCUAAUAUAUAUAUUAAUAGAAUAAAUUGGAAAAUUUAGCUAUAAAGGGUGAUAGCCCCGUAUAUGAAAGUAUUAAUAUUAGAAGUUCUAAGAGUAGAACGGGACACGAGAAAUCCUGUUUGAAUAUAGGGGGACCAUCCUCUAAGGCUAAAUACUCCUGAUUGACCGAUAGUGAACUAGUACCGUGAGGGAAAGGUGAAAAGAACCCCGGUUAGGGGAGUGAAAUAGAACCUGAAACCGUAUACGUACAAGCAGUAGGAGCUUUUGAUUUUAAAAGUGACUGCGUACCUUUUGUAUAAUGGGUCAGCGAGUUGUAUUUUGUAGCAAGGUUAACAGUAUAUGGGAGCCGAAGGGAAACCGAGUCUUAAAUUGGGCGUUAAGUUUCAAAAUACAGACCCGAAACCCGGUGAUCUAGCCAUGAGCAGGUUGAAGGUUAGUUAACUCUAAUUGGAGGACCGAACCGACUGAUGUUGAAAAAUCAGCGGAUGACUUGUGGCUAGGGGUGAAAGGCCAAUCAAACCGGGAGAUAGCUGGUUCUCCUCGAAAGCUAUUUAGGUAGCGCCUUAUAAAUUCAUCUUUAGGGGUAGAGCACUGUUUCGGUCAGGGGACUUACCGGUCUACUAAUCCGUUGCAAACUUCGAAUACUAAAGAAUGUUAUUAUAGGAGACACACAGCGGGUGCUAAGAUCCGUUGUGGAAAGGGAAACAGCCCAGAUCGCCAGCUAAGGUCCCUAAGUUAUAAUUAAGUGGAAAACGAUGUGAGAAGUCUAAAACAACCAGGAUGUUGGCUUAGAAGCAGCCAUCAUUUAAAGAAAGCGUAAUAGCUCACUGGUCUAGUCAUUUUGCGCGGAAGAUUUAACGGGGCUAAAUUAUACACCGAAGCUGCGGCAGCAAUAUUUGUAUUUUAUUGUUGGGUAGAGGAGCGUUCUGUAAGCUGAUGAAGAUAUAUUGUAAAAUAUGUUGGAGGUAUCAGAAGUGCGAAUGCUGACAUGAGUAACGAUAAAGCAGGUGAAAAACCUGCUCGCCGAAAAACUAAGGUUUCCUGUCCUACGUUAAUCGAGGCAGGGUUAGUCGAACCCUAAGGCGAGGCCGAUAGGCGUAGUCGAUGGAUAACAGGUUAAUAUUCCUGUACUUGAUAUUGUUAAUGAUGGGGGGACGAAAAAGGUUAUAUCAUCCAGAUAUUGGAUUAUUUGGUUUAAGCAUGUAGAUGGGGUCUAUAGGAAAAUCCGUAGAUCUAUUAACAUUGAGAUGUUAUGACGAGAUUCGUUAUUGAAUUGAAGUGAUAAAUACCAUGUUUCCUAGAAAAGCCUCUAAUUUUUUUAGAAAUAGUAUCAAUUCGUACCACAAACCGACACAGGUAGUUAGGUAGAGAAUACUAAGGCGCUUGAGAGAACCCAGGUGAAGGAACUAGGCAAAAUAGUGCCGUAACUUUGGGAGAAGGCACGCUGAUAUUAGGUGAAAACAAUUUACUUGUAGAGCUGAAAUCAGUCGCAGAGAAUAGCUGGCUGCAACUGUUUAUUAAAAACAUAGCACUGUGCAAACACGUAAGUGGAAGUAUACGGUGUGACGCCUGCCCGGUGCCGGAAGGUUAAUUGAAGGGGUUAAAAAGAAAUUUUGAAGCUCUAGAUUGAAGCCCCGGUAAACGGCGGCCGUAACUAUAACGGUCCUAAGGUAGCGAAAUUCCUUGUCGGGUAAGUUCCGACCUGCACGAAUGGCGUAAUGAUGGCCAGACUGUCUCCACCUGGGACUCAGUGAAAUUGAAUUCGCUGUGAAGAUGCAGCGUAACCACGGCAAGACGGAAAGACCCCGUGAACCUUUACUAUAGCUUGACACUGAAUUUGAAAUAUUAAUGUGCAGGAUAGGUGGGAGUUGAUGAAGUAUAGAUGUCAAUUUAUAUGGAAACGUCCUUGAGAUACCACCCUUUAAUCUUUUAAUUUCUAACCUAGUAUAAUACAACUACAGGGACAGUGUCUGGUGGGUAGUUUGACUGGGGCGGUCUCCUCCUAAAGAGUAACGGAGGAGCACAAAGAUCGGCUAAUCACGGUCGGAAAUCGUGAGUUUAGUGUAAAGGCAAAAGCCGGUUUAACUGGGAGCGUGACGGCGCGACCAGAUGCGAAAGCAGGUCUUAGUGAUCCGAUGGUUCUGUAUGGAAAGGCCAUCGCUCAACGGAUAAAAGGUACUCCGGGGAUAACAGGCUAAUACCGCCCAAGAGUUCAUAUCGACGGCGGUGUUUGGCACCUCGAUGUCGGCUCAUCACAUCCUGGGGCU